CUUCCGCCGGCGACCGGCGCACGGGUGAGUAACACGUAUGCAACCUGCCCCUGUCAGGGGGACAACCCGCCGAAAGGCGGGCUAAACCCGCGUACAUGCCACCGGGGCAUCCCGGAGGGCAGGAAAGGCUUCGGCCGGACAGGGAUGGGCAUGCGGCGCAUUAGGCAGUAGGCGGGGUAACGGCCCACCUAACCGACGAUGCGUAGGGGUUCUGAGAGGAAGGUCCCCCACACUGGUACUGAGACACGGACCAGACUCCUACGGAAGGCAGCAG
rnacentral:rRNA from 1 species